CAGGACGAACGCUGGCGGCGUGCUUCAUACAUGCAAGUCGAACGAGAAACUGACUUCGGUCAGUGGAAAGUGGCGGACGGGUGAGUAAAAUGUAGAGAAUCUGCCCUAGAGAGUGGGACAACAGAGGGAAACUUCUGCUAAUACCGCAUAUGCGCGUAGCUGAAAUGCUAUUCGUGAAAACUCCGGUGCUCUGGGAUGAGUCUGCAUCUGAUUAGCUAGUUGGCGGUGUAAUGGACCACCAAGGCGACGAUCAGUAGCUGGUUUGAGAGGAUGAUCAGCCACAAUGGGACUGAGACACGGCCCAUACUCCUACGGGAGGCAGCAGUAGGGAAUUUUGCGCAAUGGGGGAAACCCUGACGCAGCAACGCCGCGUGAUUGAAGAAGCCCUUCGGGGUGUAAAGAUCUGUCAGUGGGGACGAAACUUGACGGUACCCACAGAGGAAGCAUCGGCUAACUCCGUGCCAGCCGCGGC
rnacentral:rRNA from 1 species